rnacentral:rRNA from 1 species
UGACGAGUGGCGGACGGGUGAGUAAUGUCUGGGAAACUGCCUGAUGGAGGGGGAUAACUACUGGAAACGGUAGCUAAUACCGCAUAACGUCGCAAGACCAAAGAGGGGGACCUUCGGGCCUCUUGCCAUCGGACGUGCCCAGAUGGGAUUAGCUAGUAGGUGAGGUAACGGCUCACCUAGGCGACGAUCAGUAGCCGGCUUGAGAGAGUGAACGGCCACAUUGGGACUGAGACACGGCCCAAACUCCUACGGGAGGCGCAUG